UACGUGUGGGGCAAACGUUGUUCGGAAUCACUGGGCGUAAAGGGCGUGUAGGCGGCGUGCCAAGUCGAAGUUGAAAGCCCACGGCUCAACCGUGGAAUUGGCUUCGAUACUGGUGAGCUAGAGGAUGCGAGGGGGGUGUGGAACGACUGGUGGAGCGGUGAAAUGCGUAGAUAUCAGUCGGAACACCGGUGGCGAAGGCGACACCCUGGCGCAAUCCUGACGCUGAGGCGCGAAAGCGUGGGGAGCAAACAGG
rnacentral:misc_RNA from 1 species